ensembl:ncRNA lncRNA:CR45037 long non-coding RNA:CR45037
AGAGCCGGCAAGGAACCCGAAAAAAAAACCGAAAACCAAAAAAGGGAUCGAGUCAUCAUUCAUCCCGCAUCCGUCCUGAUUUCGCUUUGUUCUCCUCAAUUUUUUGUUGCCGUGAUUCUCCCUGGCCACUCGGAUAGAAAAUCGUGUGCACAAUGGUCAAGGCCAUUCCUGGAUGAUCCGAUCAAGGCGACACAACUAUGGACUCGACAAUAAGAGGACCAACACCAAUCCAAACCAAACCAAGCAAGCCCAGUUGUCAUACCAUACAAUGGGCAAUAAGAAAAAGUCGGUUAUAGGGACAUGCGGAGGAAUCGCACCCAAAAUGCCAAAAGGAAAUGCUGGCACAAAAGAUACUUAAUCUUAUAGGUAAACCCGAUGAAUGAUGAACGAAUGGCGGCGACGUAACCGAACCCCCGAUACAGCAAUCCGGCAAUCCGGCGAUCGAGCUCGAACGCAAGCCCAAGUCAUU